UACAGAGGUCUCAAGCGUUGUUCGGAUUCAUUGGGCGUAAAGGGUGCGUAGGCGGCGCGGUAAGUCGGGUGUGAAAUCUUGGAGCUUAACUCCGAAACUGCAUUCGAUACUGCCGGGCUUGAGGACUGGAGAGGAGACUGGAAUUUACGGUGUAGCGGUGAAAUGCGUAGAUAUCGGAAGGAAGACCAGUGGCGAAGGCGGGUCUCUGGACAGUUCCUGACGCUGAGGCACGAAGGUCAGGGGAGCAAACGGG
rnacentral:rRNA from 1 species